UAAAAGUAGAUUUAGUGCGGAUUUUUUUUUUUUGAGAAAAAAAAUCCUUGUGCAGCGAGCGGGGUAAUGUAACGUUAUUUAUUUUACAACGUUACCUACUUCAUUAUUAAACUUAAUUACCUAAAUCCAUCCGCGAGCGAAAAUGGUUCGUUUGCGCUUUGCUUCGCGGAUCCCUAAAAAACUUGUCCAGCGACCGGUUCGACUCGCAGCGAGGCUUGGCCACUGCUAUUCGCCGCUGCGAUUGUUAAACGUCUCGAGACCCUCGCUGAGUUUGUGCGUGCGCGCUUCUAUCUCGUUCGCCAGCUCACCGUCACUAACGGCCGAGUCGUAAACAUUACAAUUACAUAAUUAAUUAAAGGCAAUUACGUACUUGUGUAAUUAAAUAAACUAAGUGUUGUACAUGCAGUUCCCCACACUUCUUGGGGUCCGACGUACUGGUUGAGUACCUACUUACGACGGCACUGAGAUCCGCCUGUCCACCACCGGGAAUUAACUACGGAGCCGUUCGUUACCCACGACGCUUAUUUACCGCCUCGAGAAGACGUCCCGUUAUUCCUGGGCGGCUAAGGGGAGUACCUGACCGUAAUAGCCGUACGGAGAGAUUGAACCCGAGUGUAGGGCAACCCACGAAAUUUAAUAAAGUUGUACGCUAAAU